GUGUGACCCUAGCACAGGCCCGCCGUUACUCUUGAGGAAACUGCCUCACCCCGACAGCUCCUCGUCCACCUAGCGGGGCAGCUUUUCCCGCGGAGUCUCGUCUUCCGGCCAGAAGUCACCUCGGCCCGCCCACCCGGAAGCCGUCGUCUUAGCAACUCAGUAACGUCCCUCCAGCAUUCCUUCGCCACGCCCACCGAUUUGGGCAUCUGGAGCCAGUUUGCCUUUGAUUGGCCCGUCUCUCCUUCACUCUAGGAGACGUUUGGGGCGGCGAGAUUCCAAGCCUCUUACUUGAAUUUGUGGCGCGUAGAGUUCCUGAGGUGCACAAUUGAGCUGGGCGUCUUACUGGAGACAGCAAUCUGUGUUCUAUCCUCGUCUCCCUCACCAGCAGUAUCAUAAAGAAACAUUACAUCUUCCUUUGUCUCUGGAAAAAAAUGCCUUGGCAGAGAUUGGUGAGCGUCCCGCACCUCACAAACUGAAUCCAGAACUUUCCUCAUCGAGAAAGAGGAUGCUGCUGUGCUAAUUAUCCUAAGUGGGAAUGGAGUGAAGGUCACGUGGAGAGCGCACGUGACAGCGCUCUAUAAAGCACCACAGAAAUGUGACAUUAUCCCCAUUUUACAAGUGAAGAACCUGAAGCUCAGAGUAAGUACUUUGCCCAUUGACACAGCAUAAAGGAGUGACAGAGCUGGCGUUUGAAACAAGCGCCUGCCCCUGGCUCAGCGCCUGGUGCCAACAGAACACCUUUCAGGAUCCACAGCAACGCAGACAACGAGUCCAAGAUCCCGGCCUCUGCUUGGAACGGAACAGUGUCAUGGCGGAGACGACGGCCUUUGUCUUGCUGGGUGUGAAAGCAUCCGCUGUGCUGGCUCCACUGCGGCAGAAUCAAGUUUAAAGGAAGAAAGUGAUUAAAGUCAGCUCUGUGCCUCUUUGGUGUGGAAGACCCCCAAACCCCAAGUAGCCGAGUCCCUGGGUCCGAGGAAGGGCUCAUAGUUGGAGCAGCCUAGGCUGUAAUCCUGGCACUUGCGCCUUCGGUUGCUGCUUGCUGUUCGCUCCUGGGGGUCUGGAUAAUCUCCCUUGGCUUUACCGCACUGUCUGGCCCGCAUACAGGGCCCUCGUAACAUAUACCCGCUGCUGCUAUCACACGAAACUGUGGCGUUGCCCCUGAAUGGAUGGCACCGUGCCAACUCUUCUGCCAUCCGCCCUUGCAGCUUUUUUCUUUCCUCCCUCCCUCCCCUUCUUCUCCUCCUCCUCCCGUCGACUUGACGUUAAUUAACACACGGGUUAAUUGAUUUUAAAAGCCGAAGAAUUACAGUUAACUUUUCCCACAGGGUACAGACGCCAGCCGCUUGGCACACUCUGCCUUUCACACUGGUGCAGGGGGGCAGGGAAAGCCCGCAGCAGAACUGGCAACUGCUGAGGGAACGUUGCCUGCUUAUUGGAGUAGAGCCGAUAGAAGUCGACGUGGUGCUGCCUCAUCCUUACAGUAUAUAUAGCCAUUCGAUAUUUUGUUAAAUAAUCAAGCACACCCUGUCUUUCUUCUCCCUUCGUCUUCCAAAACAGGAAACCCCUUCAAAAGUUCUUAUGGGGGAAAAAUCCCUUCCCCUAGACCAUUUAUCUCUUCUAUAAUGUUUUUUUCCCAAUAAUAAGAAAAUGCCGGGGGACUUUUUUUUUUUAAGUUACAAGGAGGAAGGCUACCCCUUCCCUAAAUAUCACAUGUAAAGAAGCUAUUUUUUUAAGGAAAAAGUUCCAUAAAGUUUCUUUCUCUGUUAUCCCAGUGUUUUGUUUUGUUCCCAUUCCUCUUGACUCCGAUGGGUGAUUUAUGGUGAAGGAUUUCACUAAGAGAGUAGGUACAUUGUAAUUAAGAACAAAAUUCGUAUGAAGGCUCUUUUUGUUUGUUUGUAGGUUUGUAGAUUUUGCUUUGUGUCCCCUUUACCCCUUAUCCUGUAGAAAAUGAAAGCAACUGAUGCUGUAGUUGGGAAGGAGACAGGCAAAGCUGGAAACUUGAUGCUUCCACCUUUUCAUGCUUUCAUUUUAUUUCAUUUUGUUUUUUAAAAGCAUGCAGCAAGUGAAGCGACAAGAGGAAUCCAUUAUGCAAAUCAUGUCACUUUGCAUAAUGUCUCAUGACUGGAAUAUGCAAAUGAGCUGUAUAAUUUAUGAGUGCCAGUGUCUGUCUAAAAGUGUUUCACAUAAUUUACAAAGUAAGUCUGAGAGACAUGGGGAAGGCAGCUCUUCCAACACCAUUGCCAAGGAAGCUCUGUACGUUUUCCUACAAGUGCUCCCUGGUAAUAUUAUCAAGUGCUAUUUUUAAAUAAAUUAAGGUUCCAAAUAUUCAUGAAAGACGAAGAUUUUCCUCUCACUCUCUUCACCCAAAUUAUUUGCCUGAAAAUUUACAAGAAACUAAUAGUUUCUAAAGCAUUAAUUUUUGGAUUCAAUUGGGGGGGGGGAGGAAGUUGAGCCAAACUUUUGCGAUUUGUAUAUGGAUUUUCCUUUCAAAAGCAAGGAAUGUCUUAGAGAAACAGACACCUUAUCCAUUUAUCAGGAUCUUUGAAGGCAAUAAAGUGGAAUUUCUCAUUUUGGUUGGUUUUGUGUGUGCCCUGCUAUGUGCAGCAUUUUAUAAAUUAUAUUUUCUUGGAUGUGUUAGGCAUGUAAUAUGGAAACCAGAUGCAUUUAACAUUCUUCUGAAGUUAUAAUUCUGCUUUCAGAGAUGUCUUCACAAGAGAAAUGCUAGUCAUUGAAAACCAGGUUUAAAUUAAUUAAAUCAGCUUAGUUGGCUGCUGUAUGUCUCAUUUCGGUAACUUUUUUGAGUUGAUGAUUCUGAACCUUUCGAGAAGUCAUAGCAUCUCUGAUAAUCUCAACUAAUCUGCCCUUAUAUUUUUCAUUUCAGUCAUAGUAAGUUCUGUGAAAGAAAGAUACAGGGUGCCCUGAAAAUGUACACGAGGAGGACCUGAUCUUUGUAGAGCAUGUCAGAAAAGGCUUUCUGAAGGUGAAUUCAAGAUGCAUUGAAGUAUCAGAUUUCUGAAUCCUGCCUUAUGUGACCUAUUCCUUCUCUUUGUGAAGUUUUAUUUUCAAGAAUUUAAUAGCCAUUUAAGAAAAUAAAAAUAAGAGGAACACUUCACCCAACAAGAGCAGAAUACGGAUUCUCUUCAGCCCUAUUAGAACCAAGUUCUUUCCACAUCUGACAAAUGAUUAUUAUGAAAACAUCUUCCAGUAUCUUCACACAGCUAUUAAAGUAGUAUCAGUUGACAGUCAACCACAGAUCAACUUUAUGGGAGUCCAGGAGUCCAGCAGGGAAGUUCUAGCACACUGUUUGAGCAAAAAAAUCUAAGAAUAAAUGUAGUGAAUAAGGUGUAUCUUGUGCCAGUGACAUUGGUAACAGCUGGAAAGAAUUUAUUUCCUUGAUUGACUAAGUAGAAGAUGGUUCCCAGAACUGAUCUUUAAGUCUAAAUAAGCAUCCCCAGAGGUGUUGGAGUUUUCAACAAAGUUCUAGAAAGGAGGCAAAGAUUUUAAAGCCAUGGAUGACUAUCAUAGGUGUUGACAAUGACAAUCCUGAAGGAUUUGGAAGCUCUGCAUCACCCAAAGGAAAAGCGCCAGAGUCAGGAUGCAGUUCCAGGCAGGUGUCCCUCCUUACUCAAAAUGUGUCAAGGUCAGGUGCUGAUGAUCUGUGCCAGCAACUGUGAAGACAGGAAGACUGGAAGGAAAAAACACAACAGUUUUCUGGAACAGCGAGAUGCAAAAAUCCUGAACCUUCAAAGCCAGCUCCUGCAGAAGAGAGAGGGCCUGGCAGCUGAGCUGGAUGCUUCAGGAGCAGAGGAUCUAUCAACUGCAGACCAAGCAUAGGGAGACGCAGGCAGACCUGGAACAGAAACCCAGCCAGCGCCAGCCGCUCCGACAGUACUUGGUGGCCGGAGAGUCGGCAGCAGGAAGCAUGAGGCAGGAAAUGACCCAAUCCUUGAGGUCUGCUUAUAGAUAAAGAAAACAAAGAUCCAGCUGGGACAGACUCGAAUGGAUGCACCUACUUUCAUGCCCAGGCUUUCAGAGGAGCAGGUAAAUGAGGAAUAAGAGGUCUGCUUCCUGCUAGCAUUGUCAUUGGCCUCCAUGCUGUGCCUAAGCAUCGUGCCUAUGAAGACAGUGAGCUCAUUCCUAUAUAGGAUGAGUACAUCAAACAGUAGACGUCUUUCUCUGAGUCAACUUGGUCAAAUGACACCUUCCCUCUGAGGGUCACUGCUUCUUAGGCAGAUUUAUACAGGAGGCUUCUUGCAAAGGAGAUCUGCCUUCUCAUUUGUCACCAGGAUCCAUGAUGCCCAAAAGAGGAGAUUGGACUGGAUUGCAAUGUCUCCAUCUGACCUGGAAAACUCUAGCUCCAUGAAGAUUUCCAUAGUCACCAUGCUCUCUGGGUAGAGUCAGCAACAACCACCAGCAGCAUGUCCUAGUUCCACACUGCCGUUCCUUCUCUUCUCUGCUUCUCUACACGUUUCCUAUUCCAGCACAGCAUUAGAACAGUGUUACUAGCUAGGUAAGUGAUUUGCAGCUACAUUUUCCCCCCUUAUUAGAGGGAAGUACCCACUUAAAGGAAGACACUGCAGAAACCAUCCCCCUUUUUUUCCCCUCAAAAGACCUUUCUUAUCAUCUUCCUAUGUUUUUAAGUUUCCUUUUGCUUGACCUUCAACAUGGAGUUUCUAAGGGCUGGACUCUGCCUUGUCUUCAUUUAGCUGUUAAAGCAGGUUUUACGUCCUUUUUAAAGUGACAUUCGUAAAAGAGGGAGGUCAUCAGUGGUAGGGCUGUGCAAAGACUCGGCCAGGGAGAACACUGCCUUGUGCCUCAAAACACAGGCAGACCACUGAAAACACCUGAACAGACGGGGGAGAGGUGACCUUGGGUUGGAAACAAAGAACUGGGCCCUGGAAGCAUGCCUCUUUGCUCCCCACAACACCACAGCAACUCACCCUGGGAAGAGCAAGAGCACAGAAAACAAAGGCUCAUUUGGCAUCUCUGAUAUCAUCUUUGGAAGUGAAUAAGACAAAUAACUUAAAAGGGGCUGGAGAGAUCGAUGAUGCUGCUAACUUGAGACUGUCCAUAUGAGAGACUCUGAUUUAUCAGCCUUCAUAAGAGCGGAUAAGCUCUGAAAUGAGUGUUCUGUGAUCGGCGGUUGUACCUCCUGCUAAUCUGUG